rnacentral:rRNA from 1 species
UGUUUCGGCAAGGGGGUCAUCCCGACUUACCAACCCGAUGCAAACUGCGAAUACCGGAGAAUGUUAUCACGGGAGACACACGGCGGGUGCUAACGUCCGUCGUGAAGAGGGAAACAACCCAGACCGCCAGCUAAGGUCCCAAAGUCAUGGUUAAGUGGGAAACGAUGUGGGAAGGCCCAGACAGCCAGGAUGUUGGCUUAGAAGCAGCCAUCAUUUAAAGAAAGCGUAAUAGCUCACUGGUCGAGUCGGCCUGCGCGGAAGAUGUAACGGGGCUAAACCAUGCACCGAAGCUGCGGCAGCGACACUAUGUGUUGUUGGGUAGGGGAGCGUUCUGUAAGCCUGUGAAGGUGUGCUGUGAGGCAUGCUGGAGGUAUCAGAAGUGCGAAUGCUGACAUAAGUAACGAUAAAGCGGGUGAAAAGCCCGCUCGCCGGAAGACCAAGGGUUCCUGUCCAACGUUAAUCGGGGCAGGGUGAGUCGACCCCUAAGGCGAGGCCGAAAGGCGUAGUCGAUGGGAAACAGGUUAAUAUUCCUGUACUUGGUGUUACUGCGAAGGGGGGACGGAGAAGGCUAUGUUGGCCGGGCGACGGUUGUCCCGGUUUAAGCGUGUAGGCUGGUUUUCCAGGCAAAUCCGGAAAAUCAAGGCUGAGGCGUGAUGACGAGGCACUACGGUGCUGAAGCAACAAAUGCCCUGCUUCCAGGAAAAGCCUCUAAGCAUCAGGUAACAUCAAAUCGUACCCCAAACCGACACAGGUGGUCAGGUAGAGAAUACCAAGGCGCUUGAGAGAACUCGGGUGAAGGAACUAGGCAAAAUGGUGCCGUAACUUCGGGAGAAGGCACGCUGAUAUGUAGGUGAAGUCCCUCGCGGAUGGAGCUGAAAUCAGUCGAAGAUACCAGCUGGCUGCAACUGUUUAUUAAAAACACAGCACUGUGCAAACACGAAAGUGGACGUAUACGGUGUGACGCCUGCCCGGUGCCGGAAGGUUAAUUGAUGGGGUUAGCCGCAAGGCGAAGCUCUUGAUCGAAGCCCCGGUAAACGGCGGCCGUAACUAUAACGGUCCUAAGGUAGCGAAAUUCCUUGUCGGGUAAGUUCCGACCUGCACGAAUGGCGUAAUGAUGGCCAGGCUGUCUCCACCCGAGACUCAGUGAAAUUGAACUCGCUGUGAAGAUGCAGUGUACCCGCGGCAAGACGGAAAGACCCCGUGAACCUUUACUAUAGCUUGACACUGAACAUUGAGCCUUGAUG